rnacentral:misc_RNA from 1 species
AAAGUCGUAACAAGGUCUCCGUUGGUGAACCAGCGGAGGGAUCAUUACCGAGUUACCGUACUCCAAACCCAUUGUGAACCUUACCUCAUACCUUUGUCUCGGCGGUGGGCCGGGCUCGCCCCUGUGCCCGCCGCCGGCAGCACCAAACUCUUGGUUUUAUAGCGAUAUAUACUCAUCAGAAUGGCUAAGCAAAAUAAGUCAAAACUUUCAACAACGGAUCUCUUGGUUCUG